rnacentral:rRNA from 1 species
GACGAACGCUGGCGGCGUGCUUAACACAUGCAAGUCGAGCGGAGCGGCGAACGGGUGAGUAACGCGUGAGAAAUGCCCCCCUCUCUGGGAUAACAGUUGGAAACGGCUGCUAAUACCGGAUAGUGGGGGAUGAAUCGCGUCCUAUCAGCUUGUUGGUGGGGUAGGGGCAUACCAAUGCGACGACUGGUAGCCGGCCUGAGAGGGCGACCGGCCACAUUGGGCUGAGAUACGGACCAAACUCCUACGGGAGGCAGAAGUGGGGAAUAUUGCACAAUGGGGGAAACCCUGAUGCAGAAAGGCCGCGUGCGGGAUGACGGCCUUCGGGGUGUAAACCGCUUUCAGCCAGGACGCGGUAGUGGCAGAAGAAGCACCGGCUAACUACGUGCCAGCAGCCGCGGUAAUUC